AGACGUCUACAUUAGAUACCCGGGUAGUCCCAGCCGUAAACUAUGCGCGUUAGGUGUAUCGGUGACCACGAGUUACCGAGGUGCCGAAGGGAAACCGUGAAACGUGCCGCCUGGGAAGUACGGUCGCAAGGCUGAAACUUAAAGGAAUUGGCGGGGGAGCACCAUAACGGGUGGAGCCUGCGGUUUAAUUGGACUCAACGCCGGACAACUCACCGGGGACGACAGCAAUAUGUAGGCCAGGCUGAAGACCUUGCCUGAAUCGCUG
rnacentral:rRNA from 1 species